AUGGAGGGUGUGCAAAGUGGCGCCACAGAUGUGGAAACGGGCGCCCUUGCAUCCCUGCUGCUCAAGCUAGAGAAGCUUCGUUGCAACAAGGAGUACAAGCUGCCGAGGAGAGUCGCGGAAGACGCCACGUAUCUCUUUCAUGAGAUGCGGAGGAUGAAGGAUGUCCUCCUCGAGCUAGCGGAGGUGCGGCAGGACAAUCUCGACGAGCAGGUCAAGCUCUUGGUGAAGGAGGUUAGGAGGCUGUCCUACCACAUGGAGGUUGUGGUCGACGAGGUCCUGGUGCUCGCCCUCAACUCGGAAGGGUUAAGGGGGCACAUUUAG
rnacentral:rRNA from 1 species